GAGCACUGUUUCGGCAAGGGGGUCAUCCCGACUUACCAACCCGAUGCAAACUGCGAAUACCGGAGAAUGUUAUCACGGGAGACACACGGCGGGUGCUAACGUCCGUCGUGAAGAGGGAAACAACCCAGACCGCCAGCUAAGGUCCCAAAGUCAUGGUUAAGUGGGAAACGAUGUGGGAAGGCCCAGACAGCCAGGAUGUUGGCUUAGAAGCAGCCAUCAUUUAAAGAAAGCGUAAUAGCUCACUGGUCGAGUCGGCCUGCGCGGAAGAUGUAACGGGGCUAAACCAUGCACCGAAGCUGCGGCAGCGACGCUGAUGCGUUGUUGGGUAGGGGAGCGUUCUGUAAGCCUGUGAAGGUGUGCUGUGAGGCAUGCUGGAGGUAUCAGAAGUGCGAAUGCUGACAUAAGUAACGAUAAAGCGGGUGAAAAGCCCGCUCGCCGGAAGACCAAGGGUUCCUGUCCAACGUUAAUCGGGGCAGGGUGAGUCGACCCCUAAGGCGAGGCCGAAAGGCGUAGUCGAUGGGAAACAGGUUAAUAUUCCUGUACUUGGUGUUACUGCGAAGGGGGGACGGAGAAGGCUAUGUUGGCCGGGCGACGGUUGUCCCGGUU
rnacentral:rRNA from 1 species